CGCGUAUAGAAUCUGCCUUGUACAGGAGGAUAGCCUUUAGAAAUGAAGAUUAAUACUCCAUAAUAUUGAGAAGUGGCAUCGCUUUUUAAUUAAACAUUUAUGGGUACAAGAUGACUAUGCGUCCUAUUAGCUAGAUGGUAAGGUAACGGCUUACCAUGGCAACGAUAGGUAGGGGGUCGUGAGAGGAUUAUCCCCCACCACUGGUACUGAGACACGGACCAGACUCCUACGGGAGGGCAGCAGUGAGGAAUAAUUGGUUCAAUGGAGGCAACUCUGAACCAGCCAUGCCGCGUGCAGGAU
rnacentral:rRNA from 1 species